rnacentral:lncRNA from 1 species
CUUGAGAAACAAUUUCAUAGAAAGACAUAAAUCCUUUGAACAUGUCAAUUACAUUGGUUGAACUAAAUAAAACAAUGGACAUUGCAGGAACAAUAUUUCUGAUAAUUAAACUGUGUAUACUAUAGACAAACAUAAAUUUGUUGCCCUACACGGUUGGUUAAUAGGAGCUAUGUAUCAUUCUACACCUCUAAUUCAAACUGCUUUGCUCUUAAGAUCUUCAGCUGCACAACAAAAAAUUCUUAAGAAGCUUUAGAAAUUGGUUCCUUCUCUAUUUAUCAUGCCUAUAUGGACAAAGUUUGGGUUUGUAAGGAGUUGGAUUCUCGGGUAAAUGCUGCAAUCAACUUGUCCUUGGUAAGCUGUUCAGAUCCUUCUGACUUAAUUACAAAAUUAUGGUAGAUAGUAUCAUUUGCAGCAGCAAGUUUCGACUCUACAACACUGAUUUGUGCCUCUUUGAAUGUUUCGAUUACUUUCGAAACAGGAUGAGUAUCAAGAGAACAGCUCACCUUUACGAUUACCUCAUCUUGAGAAGCUUGAAUAUCCACAUCCGGAGGAGGAACUCUAGUAUUCUGAUGACGAUUUUCUGAUCUCGAGUUGGCCAAUCCAUCCCUGGAAGUACUGCUUCCAAAUGAUUCUCUCUCUGACUCCAUGAUCUUGAGUUUUGCUUGAAGCUCGUUGAUGUAAGCAAUAGCAUCACCAAGUAAAGAUGCCUUGUCCAUCUUGGAAAUAUUCGGUACAACAGCUCUUAAGGCAUAAAACCGCUGAUUAAGCUUCUCGCGCCUUUGCCUCUCUGCCUCCACAUGGUUUAGAGGUUCGUCCCUUCCAUUAGCAGGCUUCCUUCCGCGCUUCCUAGGUCUCCUUUCAUCACUAGGUUGAUCAGCCUCAACAUCAGCAACAAGUUCCGAUUCAGCAAUAACCGGUCUCACAGAAUUAGCCCUUGAAUUUGCUCCCGAAAAGUCAAUUUGCAUUGGCAUCUGCCUUUGUGGUUGGUAGUUGCUAUUAUUGUUGUUGAGCCUAAAAUCCUUUCUAACACCAUUAGAAGCAAAAAUUUCACCUUGACCUUGAUUCACUCCCCAACUAGAACCACAAAUACCAUUUCUAGCACUAGGAAAGUUAAUGCUAUUAUUAUUAUUAACAUUAUUACUAUCCAUUUUCCUAAUGGCAAGUUUCUCCCUAAAAUGUGUACGACCAUUGUUCAAAUUCAAAACAAGUUUUGGAAUUGAAACUGAACUUUCUUCAUUGACCACCUUAGGAUACAAUGGUUUUGAAAUUGAAAACAGUGAUUUGAUUUUGUUUAACAAAUCAAAGAUUUCAGGUAACAAUCUAACAGAACCCAACUCAACAACACCAAAAUCAGUAGGUACUAAAACAACAGUUUGAAUACCAGCAGAUUUAGCCAAGAAAGAACGAAAGCAGUAAUCAGAAACAGAUUUGAACCACAAAUGUUUACCAGAAGCGAAACACUUACCGGGUCCACCAUACCCUUUCGGGAAAAAGAAGUACAUAGAAGCUAAAAAGAACAUCUCUGUGUCGGUUACACGGUCAAGGCCAAAAGCGUAAUUGUCUUCAUCUGAACCACCAAAAGCUUUAUGCAACUUCUGCAAAACCCACUUCUUCAUACUUUGUUUCAUUCCUUCUUCUUCUUCUUCUUCUUCUUUUUUUUCUUCCUCUAUGCGAAGACUCAUAGUUUCUCUAACUCCACCACCACCACCUUCUUCUUCGUUUGGUUCUCUGCAACACCCAUCUGCCCAGCAAAGAACGUAAUCACCAGAUUUUGACUUAGAAAGUCGCCAAUAAAUCGCGUAAUUCCAAUUGAAAUUGGAUGAAGAAUUUUCAACAAGAUCAGAGAGUUUGUUUUGAAGAGAAUCAACACUUUCACCAACAGCAAUCAAUCCACUCUCAUUUGAUAAACAGUUAUUUAUCAAAAAAUCCAAAGCUCUAGCACCAAGAACAGCUUCAACCAUUGUUUUCUCUUCUUCAUUCCAUAUCAUGCGCCUUAUUGAUCCCAUCUCAAAAACAAAUCAAAUUAUGAAGAAACCAGAAAGAAAGAAAAAAAGAAACAUGGAAGGGUUAAGGUGGUAAAAGGGGAACAAGAGAGGAGAAGAAAGGAAUGGUGAGUGAUGAAAUAGACAUUGAGAGUGAGGGGAGAUUAAGUUAACAAAAGGGGGUGUAUUGAAGAAGGAGAAACACGAGUAAAAGAAGGGAGGGGGGUGCGUGAGUGAAACAAGAGAAUUCUGUGUUGUGUAGGGUGGUAGGGUAAGUAGAGAGAGAAAUGGCUUUGCUUUGAGGGUUACGGUGUCAAAUUCUGCACAAAAGUGCAAAGUGAAAACCUUAAACCAUGGUUAGGUUAGGUCAACAUAGGACUACACAAGAGCUUCAUCUGAUUUCAAGUUUUAGUCGGCGUGUUUGUUUCUUUUCUCUGUUUUUAUUUAAUUUUACUACUUACUAAGCAAAAUUGAUUUUUUAAAAACGUAUAAUUUUAUUUAUACAAUUUUUAAAAAUGGAGGGAGUGCAUAUUAUAAGCAAAAAUCAAUGUUUUAAAUUUAUUUAUUAUAUACGGUUUAUAAUAGUGAUCGAAUGAUGUACGGUUAGAGGUUUAUGCCCUCGACCUUUAAGUAUUUGGUUUAAGGCUCAGUAACUUGAAAAAUAAAAACAAAU